rnacentral:rRNA from 1 species
UACGUAGGCAGCGAGCGUUGUUCGGAUGUACUGGGCGUAAAGCGUGCGUAGGCGGUUGUCUAAGUCUGGUGUGAAAUCUCCCGGCUCAACUGGGAGGGUGCGCCGGAAACUGGAUGACUGGAGUGCCGGAGAGGUAAGCGGAAUUCCUGGUGUAGCGGUGAAAUGCGUAGAGAUCAGGAGGAACACCUGUGGUGUAGACAGCUUACUGGACGGUGACUGACGCUGAGGCACGAAAGCGUGGGUAGCAAACAGG